GGGGAAUAUUGCACAAUGGGCGCAAGCCUGAUGCAGCCAUGCCGCGUGUGUGAAGAAGGCCUUCGGGUUGUAAAGCACUUUCAGCGGGGAGGAAGGCGGUGAGGUUAAUAACCUUGUCGAUUGACGUUGCCCGCAGAAGAAGCACCGGCUAACUCCGUGCCAGCAGCCGCGGUAAUACGGAGGGUGCAAGCGUUAAUCGGAAUUACUGGGCGUAAAGCGCACGCAGGCGGUCUGUCAAGUCGGAUGUGAAAUCCCCGGGCUCAACCUGGGAACUGCAUUCGAAACUGGCAGGCUAGAGUCUUGUAGAGGGGGGUAGAAUUCCAGGUGUAGCGGUGAAAUGCGUAGAGAUCUGGAGGAAUACCGGUGGCGAAGGCGGCCCACUAGACAAAGACUGACGCUCAGGUGCGAAAGCGUGGGGAGCAAAC
rnacentral:rRNA from 1 species